rnacentral:misc_RNA from 1 species
UUAGGAUUAAAAUUAAAACAACCCACACUUUGUUUUGCAUGGUAUAAUCCAUUCAUUUCUUUCCAUUUGUUGCCUUCCUAUUUGGCUAAAACGGCAUCGUUCUUUUCCUUCUGCCAUAAAAACAAGCAUACAGAAUACAGGUACAGUGCACCAAACAAACAGCUUACAAGGAAAUACAAUAAAAAAUCAUCUGACCCUACGGUAAUCUUUAGCACACGCCUCCCUACCGCUUAUCUCCCAAAGCCCUAUCUGUAGUAGAUAUCAACAGCUAAACAGAAACAAUACUCGUCUUCUUCCUCAUUUUUCUACAGCUUCUCAGCAAAGCCCAAAUAUUUUUCUCAUUAUUCCUUUCUCCACCCACGUUCACCCUCCUUUAUUGGUCCAUUUCAAAUCUCGGCUCUGCUGUGACAUUACCCUCUUCUUUCUUUGAAACCCUCGACUAAUAGCAGUGCUUAACGCGUCUUACCAUUUCGAUUCAAUCGAGGGUUUUUCUUUUUUUUUUUUUU